GAAAUGCGAAAAGUAAUGCGAAUUGCAGAAUUCAGCGAGUCAUCGAGUUUUUGAACGCACAUUGCGCCCGCCGGUAUUCCGGCGGGCAUGCCUGUCCGAGCGUCAUUACGCACCCUCAAGCCCGGCUUGUGUGAUGGGCCCUGGCGUCUCGUUCGCGAGACGGGCCCGAAAGGCAGCGGCGGCGUCGACCCGAUGAGCCCGAGCGUAUGGGGACUUUUGUCACACGUUUGCGGUGCGGACCGGCGCCUGCUUGACUUUUCUGAUUAUCCAGGUUGACCUCGGAUCAGGUAGGGAUACCCGCUGAACUUAAGC
rnacentral:misc_RNA from 1 species